GCAGUCGAACGAAGGCCCGGGGCUUGCCCCGGUCACCUUAGUGGCGAACGGGUGAGUAACGCGUGGGAACCUGCCCAGGGGCGGGGAAUAACUACUGGAAACGGUAGCUAAUACCGCAUACGUCCUCAGGGAGAAAGGCUUCGGCCACCCUUGGAUGGUCCCGCGUCUGAUUAGCUUGUUGGUGUGGUAAAGGCGCACCAAGGCGACGAUCAGUAGCUGGUCUGAGAGGAUGAUCAGCCACACUGGGACUGAGACACGGCCCAGACUCCUACGGGAGGCAGCAGUGGGGAAUAUUGGACAAUGGGCGAAAGCCUGAUCCAGCAAUGCCGCGUGAGUGAAGAAGGCCUUAGGGUUGUAAAACUCUUUCGCCGGUGAAGAUGAUGACUGUAACCGGUAAAGAAGCUCCGGCUAACUCCGUGCCAGCAGCCGCGGUAAUACGGAGGGGGCUAGCGUUGUUCGGAAUUACUGGGCGUAAAGCGCACGUAGGCGGUUUAUCUAGUUAGGCGUGAAAGCCCUGGGCUCAACCCAGGAACUGCGUUUAAUACUGAUAAACUAGAGACCGGGAGAGGGUGGCGGAAUUCCCAGUGUAGAGGU
rnacentral:rRNA from 1 species